rnacentral:tRNA from 1 species
GUUUAAUUAGUUUAUUUAUAAAAUUAUAAAUUGUGGAUUUAUUGAAGGUUUAACCAUUAAACA